rnacentral:rRNA from 1 species
CCAGCAAUGCCGCGUGUGUGAAGAAGGCCUUCGGGUUGUAAAGCACUUUUGUUAGGGAGGAAAGUCUGGUAGCUAAUAACUGCUAGAUCUGACGUUACCUAAAGAAUCAGCACCGGCUAACUCUGUGCCAGCAGCCGCGGUAAUACAGAGGGUGCAAGCGUUAAUCGGAAUUACUGGGCGUAAAGGGUCUGUAGGCGGAUUAUUAAGUCGGAUGUGAAAUCCCCGGGCUCAACCUGGGAACGGCAUUCGAUACUGGUAGUCUAGAGUGUGCAAGAGGAUGGGGGAAUUCCUGGUGUAGCAGUGAAAUGCGUAGAGAUCAGGAGGAACAUCAAUGGCGAAGGCACCUUUCUGGGGCAACACUGACGCUGAGAGACGAAAGCGUGGGGAGCAAACAGGAUUAGAUACCCUGGUAGUCCACGCCCUAAACGAUGUCAACUAACUGUUCGGAGUCACUAAGAUUCUGAGUAGUGAAGCUAACGCGAUAAGUUGACCGCCUGGGGAGUACGGCCGCAAGGUUGAAACUCAAAGAAAUUGACGGGGGCCCGCACAAGCGGUGGAGUAUGUGGUUUAAUUCGAUGCAACGCGAAGAACCUUACCCGGUCUUGACAUGGUAGGAAUCUUGUAGAGAUACGAGAGUGCCUUCGGGAACCU